rnacentral:rRNA from 1 species
AGCAGCCGCGGUAAUUCCAGCUCCAAUAGCGUAUAUUAAAGUUGUUGCAGUUAAAAGCUCGUAGUUGAAUUUCGGGACCAAUUUGUUGGUCGUGCCUCGGUACGUACUGGUAUUAUUGGUUUCUCCCUUCUGAAGAACCUCGAUGCCAUUAAUUUGGUGUCGUGGGGAAUCAGGACUGUUACUUUGAAAAAAUUAGAGUGUUUAAAGCAAGCAUACGCUUGAGUACAUUAGCAUGGAAUAAUGAAAUAGGACGUUUGAUUCUAUUUUGUUGGUUUCUAGGAUCGACGUAAUGAUUAAUAGGGAUAGUUGGGGGCAUUAGUAUUCAAUUGUCAGAGGUGAAAUUCUUGGAUUUAUUGAAGACUAACUACUGCGAAAGCAUUUGCCAAGGAUGUUUUCAUUAAUCAAGAACGAAAGUUAGGGAUCGAAGACGAUCAGAUACCGUCGUAGUCU